UCGGGAGCAUGAACAGAGAGAUGGCAAUGGAAGAAUAUGUUAAUACUUUAGAUCGGGCCGUCCCAGGGUGGAAGGCUGUGGGUGCAGGGGCUAACAUCGACCCCGCCGGAAAAAUAUUGAGUUGAGGCUGAAAUUUAAGGUCAAGAAGCAAGACGACCUGUUCGACUGCUGGAUGGUCUUCUCGACUGGAGAGUGCACCGGCCGGCUAGGUUACUGCUGCACAAAAGGAUCCGAAGAUUAACGCCGCUCGUCCCCAGCUAGUUAUUACACUAGUAACCACACCAUUCAAUACAACAAGAACUGAUUACUUCAAUUCUGUAUUAAUUUAUAACUUGUUCUUAUGUCAAGAUCAGUACUCCCACCUCCAUCCUAAUAUUUUGUAUACCAUUUAUUGAUUAUAACUUGAAACAAUAUUUUACAUUGAAUGAUGGAAUUACCAUCAUACUUGAUACUUC